rnacentral:lncRNA from 1 species
UUAAUUCCACUAUCUCCAAGCUUUCAUAAUCUCAAGUUCCCAAACAGAUUCAUCAUUACACUUUUCAGAAAACGUCAUGUCUAGCCCACGUUUUAGACCUUACCCCCAUCAUUUCCUAAACCUAACAUCAUGGCCUUUUUCAACUUCCACCUCUUCAUCACCACCGUUGUGAUUCAGCCACGUGUCCCACGACUAUCCUCAAAAACUCAAACGUUUUCAUCAUCUUCCCUUAUAAAUACUCACAACUUAUUUUCUCU